GUCGGCGUGGGGUCCGCCCGAGAGC
rnacentral:piRNA from 1 species